rnacentral:rRNA from 1 species
AAACAACAGGGAUUGCUCAGUAACGGCGAGUGAAGCGGCAACAGCUCAAAUUUUGAAAUCUUGGCCGCAAGGUCCGAGUUGUAAUUUGUAGAGGAUGCUUUUGGCGAGGUGCCUUCCGAGUUCCCUGGAACGGGACGCCAUAGAGGGUGAGAGCCCCGUACGGUAGGACCACCAAGCCUCUGUAAAGCUCCUUCGACGAGUCGAGUAGUUUGGGAAUGCUGCUCUAAAUGGGAGGUGUACGUCUUCUAAAGCUAAAUACCGGCCAGAGACCGAUAGCGCACAAGUAGAGUGAUCGAAAGAUGAAAAGCACUUGAAAAGAGGGUUAAAAAGUACGUGAAAUUGUUGAAAGGGAAGCAUUCAUGACCAGACUUGGGCUUGGUUGAACAUCCGGCGUUCUCGCCGGUGCACUCUGCCAGUCCAGGCCAGCAUCAGUUUGCCCCGGGGGAUAAAGGCGGCGGGAAUGUGGCUCCCUUCGGGGAGUGUUAUAGCCCGUCGUGUAAUGCCCUGGGGCGGACUGAGGAACGCGCUUCGCACGGAUGCUGGCGUAAUGGUC